UUUGGUUUGAGUACAAAAUUUGUCGAUCAUGCUGGACGACCACGGUUGAGUUUUGUGGUUGAUGCAUCUCCAUGUUUGUGUGGAGUUCUUGAAGCAUGUGAUGGUUGAUAUCGUUCAGAAAUUGUUUGUGGAAUCAGGUAGCAACUCUGAUUGGAGGCCUGUUUUGAACAGAAAACCUGGCUUCUUCAACUAUCCUACAGUGAGACUACACAUACCCACUUCAGUAAAUGGGGAUGUGGCUAAAUAUGAAACAGAGAUAUAUCAUAAAGAUCCUUGUGGAACCAUACAAAAGCUUAUGUUCAGUAAGUUUGACGCUGCAGAACUUGUGGCCUGGUUCAGACCAGGGACCUUUUUGGAUGCCUACAUCUCCUUGCAUCCAUAUGACUUUCAGCAAAGUGCUGGCAUCAGAUUAGUGGCCAAGAAAUUAGUCAUUCACAAAGAGUGAAAGGAGCAAGGUUCUCUAAUCUAUUCUUGAUGAUUGCAUGUAAUGUACAGUUGUAACAAAUAAGGCUAACAUGCACAGAUGAAAACAGCAGUUGAAUUUUAUGGUAAAAUGCUGAAGGCAUGAAUGCUAAUAUUUAACAUUGUUUACAUGUAACUGCAAAAUUCUUUCAGUUUGUAAUUUUAAUCGCAGACAUUGACAAGCCUAAAAAAAUUUUGCAGUUACAUGUAGACAAUGUUAAAUAUUAGCAUUC
rnacentral:misc_RNA from 1 species